ensembl:lncRNA
UUCCCUUUAAAAUCAGGGGUUUUAUCCUUUAAAAUCAGUGAAAUAUUUUCCUUUAAAAUCAGGGGUUUCUUUCCUUUAAAAUCAGUGAAAUAUUUUCCUUUAAAAUCAGGGGUUUUAUCCUUUAAAAUCAGUGGAAUAUUUUCCUUUAAAACCAGUUUUGGAUCUCAGAGCUUCCCUGUUUUCCCAGCCACCAGGAGCCAAAAAUCUGUCCCAAAACCUUGGGGAAUCUCCCAUCCCUUCCUCAGGGCUCUCCCCACACCUUCCCAGCCUUUUUGCAUCUCCCUGCCCAAAAAUUGGGGAAUUGCUGCUCCCAGAGGGAAUUACUGACUUCAAAGGGUUGGGGAAAUAAAAACCACUCAGAUGCAAAACAUGCAAAAAACUAUUUUACUGACAAACAGCAAAGGAUGGGUUUGGUUCCAGGAGCUGAACUGGUUCUCUAUGGUACAAACAUCUUGGAAGGGAAGGAAUGGCUGAAAUACACUCACUUGUUGACCCAAAAUAAAUCACAGUGUGCUUUUUUUCUAUUGCCUCCCCCAGCCCAAGCUCUCUGCACCUUCAGCUGCUCCUCCAGCACAGCCCUGGCUGAAAUCUGCCUGUGCAAGUUGUAUUUCAAUAAAAAUAAAAAUAAAAAUUGGCCAUUAUUGCUUUUCAACCACAGUAGGGAUGGUUCUGUGAUGGAGCCAGAGCAGAGCUGGGUCUGUGGUGCAGUCUGGGCUGUGCCUCUCCCUGCCUGGUGCAUGCAGGAAAAAGGAAAAAAGGGAAAAUAAGGAUGGAGAUGGGGGCAGGCAGCACUGCAGGCUCGGUGCUGCUGCUCCAGGAGGGGAAAUCCUCCCAGGGAGAGCAGGAGGGGCUGGGAGCCCCCGGGAACAGGAAUGGGGGAGCCACAGCGGGGACAGGGCCAUGCAGGGCACGGAGGGACACACAGACAGAGCUCAGGACACACGGACACACAGCAGGGCCCGCAGCCCAGCCGGGGCGGGCAGCUCCUGCUGGCGCUGCCACAUCUGCCCUCUGCUCCUCCUCCUCUCCUCUUCUUCCUCACUUCUUCCUCUCCUCCUCUUCCUCUCCUCUGCUUCCCUUUCCUCUUCUUCCUCUCCUUUUACUUCAUCUCCUCUCCUUCCUCUCCUUCCUCUCCUACUCUUCCUCUCCUCUGCUUCCUCUCCUUUACUUCAUCUCCUCUCCUUCCCUUUCCUCUUCUUCCUCUCCUUUACUUCAUCUCCUCUCCUUCCCUUUCCUCUUCUUCCUCUCCUUUACUUCAUCUCCUCUCCUUCCCUUUCCUCUUCUUCCUCUUUUACUUCAUCUCCUCUCCUUCCUCUCCUCUGCCCUCUCCUCUUCUUCCUCUCCUUUACUUCAUCUCCUCUUCUUUCUCUCUUCUUCCUCUCCUCUUCUUCCUCUCCUUUAAUUCCUCUCCUUCCUCUCCUCUGCUUCCUUCUCCUUCCUCCUCUUCUCCUCUUCUCCUCUGCUUCCCUCUCUGCUUCCUCUCCUGUCCUUCUUCUCUUCUUCCUCUCCUUCCUCUCCUCUUCUUCCUUCCCUUUACUUCAUCUCUGCUUCCUCUCCUCUGCUUCCUCUUCCUCUCUUCCCUUCUCUGCACCCUUCUCCUCUUCUUCCUCUCCUCUUCUUCCCCUCCUUUAAUUCUUCUCCUUCCUCUCUUCUUCUUCUCCUCUGCUUCCCUCUGUUUCCCUCUCUGCUUCUCUCUCCUCUUCUUCCUCACCUUUGCUUCCUCUCCUCUUCCUCCCCUCUCCUUCCUUCUCUGCUUCCUUCUCCUCNCAGCACCGGCAGAAGAUGGAGUGGCUGCAGACAGAAGGUGCAGAAGCAAACAGAGAGACUGCCAGGAACCCCCUGCUGCCCUUCCACCAAGGGACACCGGUGUGAGGAGCCUGCAGGAUUCACCUGAGCACAGAGAAAAAGGCAAAGGUUUGGUGGGGCGGCCGUGGAGAGCAGCCCGUGGUGCCAGGGAGGGGCUGCCCUGGGUCUCCAGUGCAAGAGCAGAAAAACAAAAUGGGUUCAAAAGGAAGAAAUAACUGGAUUUAUUAAAGGAACCCUUGGUGAAACACCACUGGCUGUGUUGGUGUGUGUGGCCUGACCCCAAAUCCUUCUGAGGUGUUUCUGCACCUGUGGGAACCCGGGGAUUGUCCAAGCCUGACAUUUACAUCCCAUACAUUUAACUUUGUAGGAUUUGUUCUCCAGCAGAGCCAUUUCUCACCCUUUUAUCCCCAAAUCCUUCUGAGGUGUUUCUGCACUGUCCCAGCACCUGUGGGAUUGUCCAAGCCUGACCUCCCAUACAUUUAAAUCUGUAGGGUUUGUGUUCCAGCAGAGCCAUUUCUCACCCUUUUAUCCCCAAAUCCUGCCCAUGACACAGCUCCUUCCUCACUUGAGUUACCCUUCAAGAUUAAAUUUUUCUUAGAAAUGUGGAUCUGGGGGGAUUCACUGUUUAACACAAGUGAUCUGAGAGCAGCCCCACAUAUUUUUUCCCCCAAGUAAAUCAGUUUUCUCCAUGAAGAGCUGAGUUUGGGGCACACAGAUGCAGCAUGGCCUGAAGAGAGACAUGAGUGGAGCUUGUUUGCUCCCACUGCUCUUGCCACACAAAUUUUCUGCUGCAUUUCUGCACCAGCUGGGAGAACGUGCCAUUGUCAGGGCCUGAACACGAGCCUGCCUUGAUGAGAUGACAUUUGUUCUUCUGUGCAUAUGAGAGACAGGUUAGAAAACCUCCUGAUUUUUUUUUCUCUGUGUUUGAACUGGAUCUGAACUCUGUGCUCUGCUCUGAGGUCUCUUGUGUAGCUACACAGCCCCAGCACGGUGGCCUGACCUAAAUCUGUGCCCUUGCUGAGCUCUGCUCACACAGGAGCUGCCACCAGCUCCACUUUGGCCGUGCUGAGCUGUUCCUGGCCCUUCUCCUGAAAUUCCUCUGAUUUUCCUGCUUUUCCUGCCCUUCCAGGCAUUGGGCUUGAGAGGCUCGGGCACCCAGAAUUGAACAGUAUUGAAAUAUUUUCCUUUAAAAUCGGCGGUUUUUUUCCUUUAAAA